rnacentral:rRNA from 1 species
UCAAGUUAUUAAGGGUGCAGGGCGGAUGCCUUGGCACUAGGAGCCGAUGAAGGACGUGAUAAGCUGCGAUAAGCUUCGGGGAGUUGCACGUAAACUUUGAUCCGAAGAUUUCCGAAUGAGGAAACUCACUUAGAGUAAUGUCUAAGUAUCAUUAAGUGAAUACAUAGCUUAAUGAGGGGAACUCAGGGAACUGAAACAUCUAAGUACCUGAAGGAAGAGAAAGAAAUUCGAUUCCGUAAGUAGCGGCGAGCGAACGCGGAUUAGCCCAAACCAAUAAAGUUUUCUUUGUUGGGGUUGCGGACAUAUCAUAACGAAGAGGUAUCGUAAUUGAAGAGGUUUGGAAAGACCCACCACAGAAGGUAAUAGUCCUGUAUGUUAAACGAGAAGACUUUAGAUAUGAUCCAGAGUACCACGGGACACGUGAAACCCUGUGGGAAGCAGGAGGGACCACCCUCCAAGGCUAAAUACUACCUAGUGACCGAUAGCGUAUAGUACCGUGAGGGAAAGGUGAAAAGAACCCCGGGAGGGGAGUGAAAUAGAACCUGAAACCCUGCACUUACAAGCUGUGGAAGCACAUUUCUUGUGUGACCGCGUACUUUUUGUAGAACGGGCCAACGAGUUACGUUAAGUAGCAAGGUUAAGCACUUAAGGUGCGGAGCCGUAGCGAAAGCGAGUUUUAACUGAGCGUUCAGUUACUUGACGUAGACCCGAAACCGGGCGACCUACCCAUGAGCAGGAUGAAGCGAAAGUAAAAUUUCGUGGAGGUCCGAACCCACGAGCGUUGAAAAGCUCGGGGAUGACUUGUGGGUAGCGGUGAAAUUCCAAUCGAGCCCGGAGAUAGCUGGUUCUCCCCGAAAUAGCUUUAGGGCUAGCCUCAAGGUGAGAGAUACGGAGGUAGAGCACUGAAUGUCCUAGGGGGUAUUGCACCUACCGAAGACUAUCAAACUCCGAAUGCCGUCAUCUUAUACUUGGGAGUCAGACUGUGGGUGAUAAGAUUCAUAGUCGAAAGGGCAACAGCCCAGAUCGUCAGCUAAGGUCCCUAAAUGUAAGUUAAGUGGUAAAGGAUGUGGGAUUGCACAGACAACCAGGAUGUUGGCUUAGAAGCAGCCACUCAUUCAAAGAGUGCGUAAUAGCUCACUGGUCGAGUGAUCCUGCGCCGAAGAUUUCCGGGGCUAAAACUUACUACCGAAGCUACGGCAUCAGUAAUGAUGGGUAGGGGAGCUUCCCAUACGGGUUGAAGCAUGACCGUAAGGACAUGUGGACAGUAUGGGAGUGAGAAUGUUGGCAUGAGUAGCGAGAUGUGGGUGAGAAUCCCACAGGCCGUAAACCCAAGGUUUCCAGGGGAAGGUUCGUCCGCCCUGGGUUAGUCGGGACCUAAGCUGAGGCCGAAAGGCGUAGGUGAUGGACAACAGGUUGAUAUUCCUGUACUACCGAUAACCGUUUGAGAGAAGGGAUGACACAGUAGGAUAAGCUAAGCACACUGUUGGUUAUGUGUGCCCAAGCAUUGAGGCAGUCAAAGUAGGCAAAUCCGCUUUGAUAAUGCUGGGAUGUGAUGGGGAGCGAAAUUUAGUAGCGAAGUAGCUGAUUUCACACUGUCAAGAAAAGUCUCUAUCGAGGUUAAAGAUACCCGUACCGCAAACCGACACAGGUGGGUGAGGAGAGUAUCCUAAGGCCAGCGAGAGAACUGUUGUUAAGGAACUCGGCAAAAUGACCCCGUAACUUAGGGAUAAGGGGUGCCACCAUCAGGUGGCCGCAGAGAAUAGGCCCAAGCGACUGUUUACCAAAAACAUAGGUUUCUGCUAAGUCGCAAGACGAUGUAUAGGAGCUGACGCCUGCCCGGUGCUGGAAGGUUAAGGGGAUCUGUUAGAGCAAUCGAAGCAGUGAACUUAAGCCCCAGUAAACGGCGGCCGUAACUAUAACGGUCCUAAGGUAGCGAAAUUCCUUGUCGGGUAAGUUCCGACCCGCACGAAAGGCGUAACGAUUUGGGCACUGUCUCAACAACAGACUCGGUGAAAUUGUAAUUCCGGUGAAGAUGCCGGAUACCUGCGACAGGACGGAAAGACCCCAUGGAGCUUUACUGUAGCUUGACAUUGGGUCUUGGUACUACAUGUACAGGAUAGGUGGGAGGCUUUGAAACCAGGACGCCAGUUUUGGCGGAGCCAUCCUUGGGAUACCACCCUUGUAGUACUGGGACUCUAACCAUAGGCCAUGAAUCUGGUCUUGGGACACUGUCAGGUGGGCAGUUUGACUGGGGCGGUCGCCUCCCAAAAGGUAACGGAGGCGCUCAAAGGUUCUCUCAGUACGGUCGGAAAUCGUACGUAGAGUGUAAAGGCAAAAGAGAGCUUGAUUGCAAGACAUACAGGUCGAGCAAGGAUGAAAAUCGGACUUAGUGAUCCGGUGGUUCUGCGUGGAAGGGCCAUCGCUCAACGGAUAAAAGCUACCCUGGGGAUAACAGGCUUAUCUCCCCCAAGAGUCCACAUCGACGGGGAGGUUUGGCACCUCGAUGUCGGCUCAUCACAUCCUGGGGCUGUAGUAGGUCCCAAGGGUUGGGCUGUUCGCCCAUUAAAGUGGUACGCGAGCUGGGUUCAGAACGUCGUGAGACAGUUCGGUCCCUAUCCGUCGCAGGCGUAGGAAAUUUGAGAAGACCUGUCCUUAGUACGAGAGGACCGGGAUGGACGUACCUCUGGUGUACCAGUUGUCCUGCCAAGGGCAUGGCUGGGUAGCUAUGUGCGGAAUGGAUAAGCGCUGAAAGCAUCUAAGCGCGAAGCCAACUUCAAGAUAAGAUUUCCCACCGCAAGGGUAAGACCCCAGAAAGACUAUCUGGUUGAUAGGUCGAAGGUGUAAGUGCAGCAAUGUAUUUAGCUUAUCGAUACUAAUAGGUCGAGGACUUGACCAA